rnacentral:rRNA from 1 species
UGGCCGGGUAUUCUAACCUCCGUUGCCGAAUUCUGUUGCCCCGGAGCGACCUGCCUCGGGCGGAGGCUCCGGGUGGAACUUAAACUCUCGCGUAACCCCCAGUCCAGUAAACUAAUUAAUAAAUAAAACUUUUAACAACGGAUCUCUCGGUUCUGGCAUCGAUGAAGAACGCAGCGAAAUGCGAUAAGUAAUGUGAAUCGCAGAAUUCAGUGAAUCAUCGAAUCUUUGAACGCACAUUGCGCCCCCUGGUAUUCCGGGGGGCAUGCCUGUUCGAGCGUCAUUUCACCACUCAAGCCUCGCUUGGUAUUGGGCAACGCGGUCCGCCGCGUGCCUCAAAUCGUCCGGCUGGGUCUUCUGUCCCCUAAGCGUUGUGGAAACUAUUCGCUAAAGGGUGUUCGGGAGGCUACGCCGUAAAACAACCCCAUUUCUAAGGUUGACCUCGGAUCAGGUAGGGAUACCCGCUGUACUUAAGCAUAUC